CCUACGGGAGGCAGCAGUGAGGAAUAUUGGUCAAUGGACGAGAGUCUGAACCAGCCAAGUAGCGUGAAGGAUGACUACCCUAUGGGUUGUAAACUUCUUUUAUAUGGGAAUAAAACGUUCCACGUGUGGGAUUUUGUAUGUACCAUAUGAAUAAGGAUCGGCUAACUCCGUGCCAGCAGCCGCGGUAAUACGGAGGAUCCGAGCGUUAUCCGGAUUUAUUGGGUUUAAAGGGAGCGUAGGUGGAUUGUUAAGUCAGUUGUGAAAGUUUGCGGCUCAACCGUAAAAUUGCAGUUGAAACUGGCAGUCUUGAGUACAGUAGAGGUGGGCGGAAGUCGUGGUGUAGCGGUGAAAUGCUUAGAUAUCACGAAGAACUCCGAUUGCGAAGGCAGUUCACUGGACUGCAACUGACACUGAGGCUCGAAAGUGUGGGUAUCAAACAGGAUUAGAUACCCUUGUAGUC
rnacentral:rRNA from 1 species